rnacentral:lncRNA from 1 species
UCUGAUCACACUCUCUCUCCUCUACCCAAGACUGCCGACCAGCUCUCCCUCCCUCUCUAACUCCAUUGUUCCAAAAAUUUCUUACUCAAACCACCACCAAAACAUCUCCAAAUUCAACCAAACUUGCACCAUACUUAGCUUAACUCUAGGAGAUCAUUUUGAGCUGCAAAAGGGUGCUGGAAAUCACGGUUUCUUGGAGCAUUUUGAGGGCCAAAAAUUCUGAUCUAGUACACUAAGAAGGUAUAACAUGAUCCAUCACCUUAAACUUGAUUUAUAGUAGUAGAUAUGCAUCUCUAAGUACUUGCAUGUAAGUAGAUGACUUGAUAUUGUUGGAAAAAUGUGAAAGUAGGCUCUAUGAACUCCCACUCUUGGGUUGUUGCUGAUUUGAUGAUUGAUAGUGGUUAUAUUGUUGGUUUAGUGGUUAAAAUGAUGGAUUAAUGGUGUGUAAUUGAUAGAAACUUCAUUGGGUGCAAGAAGCAAAAGUUUCCGAUUUUACCCCUGUCUUGUCCGACCAUUUUUGUGCAAAAUUUUGAGGUUCUAAUGACUUGAUUAUAUUGUUUACAUGUUAGUGUGAGUGUGUACAAAAUUUCAUUGAAAAAUAACAUGAUUUGGUUGGUCAAAUGAGUUGAUUUCCAAAGUUAGCAAAACUGGAAAAUGAAUCCCGUAUUGCCCAGGCAGUCAUUUUGUAUCGGCUAUAACUCUUUGCUCCGAUGUCGAAAUCAAGUGCCGUUUGUGGCAUUGGAAACUAGACAUUCCCAGCUUUCCAUUGGUACCAAUUUCACGUUCUGUUUCCACUUGAGUGGGCCACACCAUUCGAUUGAAAAUCACUGUCCUGUUUCGUUUCUCUCCAGGAGACAGGACAGGACUUGUAUCUUGAUGCUCAAAAACGAGCUGUUUGUGGAUGGAAUUUGAAAAUGGUUUCUUCUGAUAAAAUUCAGAUUUAUGAGAGAGCUUUCCAACGCCAUCAACCACGCCCAAUUCCAAGUUGAAUUGAGUGAGUUGUGGCCAAAGUUCGAAACUGCUACAGUGAUAGAAUUUUCCACUUGGACAGAUUUGUAACUAACAAUGAUUUGGGACUUGUUGUUUUGGAAAAUUUGAUGUCCAACAUCUACCAAACUUUAUAUCAUAUGUUCCUUGGACUUUGUUUCACAAAUAAACCAGAUUUGGGUUGGUUGCUUUGGAUAAAAUGUUUAAAAAGGAAAGAAGAGCUAGAAGACAGUUUUACCUUGGGGGAAAUUUCUUGAACUUUGAUGGUUUAGUUAACUACCUUCUCGUGUGAAUUUUCAAAUGAAAUUUGAUAGAAGAGUAAUCCUCAUAUGGAGGUUUAAUUGUGCAAAAUUUGGUAAUAUUCUAAGACCAUUUUGAUAUGCAAAUGAUGUCACAAAAUUCGCUUAUCGAAUCUGGAAAACUUUUCGUUUUCUCUUAGCCAAAUGGUCAAAUCUGAUUUGGGGAGUUUUAUUUCGAAAAUUUGGAUGUCAAUGGUCUUUAAAUUACUCAGUGGAUGUUUAUGAACUCUUGGCUUCAAUAAUGGAGAGAUUUGGAACUGAUUUCAUGGUACAAAAAGUUUGUAAACAAAAGAAAAGUGAGAAGGUAGUUUAGCCUUGAAACUCUUCAUAAACUUUGGUUGUUUUAAUGACUGCCUUACCGUGAGAGUUUUUGUAUGAAACUUGAUAGAAAUGUUGUUCACACAUGGAAGAUUUAGUGUACCAAGUUUGAUGUAUUUCCACUGCCAAUUCGAUGACCAAAUGAUACUUCGAAUCUAGUCUUCAAACCUGGAAAAUAGCCCAACAGUCUUAACUUUUUCAGCAACUUGGAGCUACUAUAUCUUGGUGCUCGAAACUCCGUUUCUCGUUCCGCUUGUUUUGUUAUACUCUUGGAUUGCAACACUAAUUGAUUUCCAAAUUUCAAAGGUUAGUUCAAAACAAGUGAAUUUUUCCGAAUUUCCAAAGUUGGCCAAAAACCAACUUAAAUCUGUCUUGGUAAUUCAAGUUACCAACUUUGAGUCCAUUUUUGAAUAUCUUCCAUUUAGAAUCAUGGAAAAAUGUCUUCUAAGAACUUUUAGUACUUUCAAAGGGGUUUCUAACAGUACCAAGUUUUCCAAUUUUGGACUUGUAGAGAGUGAGAUAUGAUUUUUCAAAGAUUGCUUGUUAAAUCUGAAAUUUUCUAACUUAAAGGAAACUAAGGGUUUCGAACUCUCCAUUUUCCUUCAAUAUCAAUUGAUCAUUUUACAUUUGAUUUCAGAGAUAGAAAUCAGAUUUGUCUUGUGUUUUAAAACCCCACUUUUGAACCUCGAGUUACACGAACUCUUAGACUCAUCUCCGCGUUAAUUUCUUAGAUUAUACUAGUGUACAAUCCUCCUCGAUAAUUAGAGAUUCGUAGUGAUAUUGAGUGGUACUUGAUUAUUGGUUGCUCAGGCACUCGAGGGGAUCUCCAAGGGGAACUCGGAGCGGACACCUAAAACGCUUGUUUGAAAACUACUCGCUUGUUUUGACUAGGUGAGUGUUCCAUAUAGGAAUACGCAAUUGAAUAAGUCUAGGACAUGCUUAUUUCAUGAUUAUUAAGUGUUAAGUGCCAUGUGUUAAGUAUUUACCAUACUCAUGCCUAUUUAAGGAAUGUAUACUUGCAUUGUAUAUCUACAUGAAUUGGUUAAAUGAUUAACCAUAUCAAAUGACCAUAUGAACUCGAUACAUGCUUAACUUGCUAGAUGGCUUGCUUAGCCUACUCGGUUUUGAAAAAAUGGAGUCGAGUGUGUACUUUAUCGCACUCGUUCUCUUUUGAGAUGAAUAACUCAUGCUUGAAAAUGCUCGAAUAACAUGACUUGGUAUGCUAAGGUUGCAUACGUCGUUGGAGUGAAUCUCCUCGACUCUCACAUGGUAAAAAUGGGAUAACGGCGAAUGAUGGCCUAUUCAUAUGACAAAUGCCUGUCAAUUAACCGUCACUACUCAACCAUUAACCGUCAACCGUGAACCGUUAACCGUUAACCGUGAACCGUUUACCAACCCACAUGACUACCUAAUUACUUGACUAUUUGCUCACGUGAUUUCCAAUCUACAUGACUAUUCGAUAUCCGUGAAUUACAUGUUCCCAUGAAAUCAACUUGUAUUGCUUACGUGCUUACGUGCUAAGUAUCCACUUGAUUACUUGAUUAUCAUGAAUCACAUGUUAUAUGAAGCUGCCCAUCAUUGUUAGGCGAGUGUGUACUUUACCUCACUCGACCUACUCAAAUGAUGAAUUUUACCUUUUGUCGAAUUACUUGGUUACCUGUGCAUGUUGUAAGCUCUAAGCUGAACUUGGGCCCUGCCCUUGGUUACUGGCCUACUCGAGCCAGGACUGGGCUCGGUCGGGUAGGUUGGAACCCUGGGCCACCGUUUCGGUAUACUCGAGUAUUACCACUGGAGAGAUAAGGUGAUGGCCAGUCAAACCGAGGGGAUCCGGAAGUCAUAAGGUGCAGUUGACCGACAAAGUUCCACUGGAACACCGUAUCCUACAGUAUAUGUUUACCUGGUAUCAUGAUAAUUGUUUCAUGCUAAAAUGCCAAUAUGAAAUCCUGAGCUAUGCCUGUAAUAAGCUCCAAUCACUCGUGAACUAUACAUGCCAAUGUCUUGAACCAUGAUAACUAUCUCAUAAUAAAUGUCUCAUACCAUGAUAAAUGUCUCAAAUUACCCGUACUAUGAUUAUCACCUCAUGAUAACAUGUCAUUGUGUAACCUUGAACCAUGCAUAUGAUAUGCCCAAUCUACUUGAUUUAUUUGAACUGUUAGAGUGUCUUGGAACCUCACUGGGCUGUGUAGCUCAUCCCACGUUGUGGUUUUAUUUUACAGGGUUCGAGACCAAGGGUGCUCGUGAGUAGUACUAGAUUGCUUUCUUUUGAAGACUUUAAGUUAUAUUAUAACGGAUGGCUUUUGUGCCCUUUUUCGUUGGGUUGUAUUUAAGCUUGAAAGCUACAUAGUUGUAAGUGUAAGAUAUUUGAAGUACUUUAAUUAUGUAUUGAAGUUAGUUAAAGUAUUUCGAGCUUUUGAAUAAUGGAUUGUAGUGAGUCCUGGCGAGAGCUGGGCAGGCGUCCUGCGGAUACCCUUUGGUUCGCCUUAGGGAGAAGUGGGGGCGUCACAACUUCUACAUUCCAUUCAUAUAUGAUAAAUCUAAAGUAAAUAUAUUGUUCA